rnacentral:rRNA from 1 species
CCCUUAGACAUUCUGGGCCGCACGCGCGCUACACUGACCAGUGCAACAAGCAUCCGUCCUUGGCCCACAGGCCCGGGCAAUCUUUGAACGCUGGUCGUGAUGGGGAUAGACUUUUGCAAUUUUUGGUCUUCAACGAGGAAUUCCUAGUAAACGCAAGUCAUCAACUUGCAUUGAUUACGUCCCUGCCCUUUGUACACACCGCCCGUCGCACCUACCGAUUGAAUGGUCCGGUGAAGCCUCCGGAUUGGCGCGCACCUCGGUGCCGCCGAGAAGUUGGCUAAACCUUACCAUUUAGAGGAAGGUGAAGUCGUAACA